AGCUGUCGCCCGACUUACAGUUGUUAAUAGCACUAUGUUUUUAUGCAAAUAGUGGUUUCAAAACACUGUUGUAGAUGAUGAUUAAUGUCCACCAAUCCACUGCAUGUCAGGCCAUCUGCAUGACGCAUGUAUCCUACCAGGAUUUCGAGGCUGGAAGAGUAAAUGGGAUGUUUCUCGGCGACAGUGGAUACUCACUGAAACACUGGCUGAGCAAGAACGACGGUAUAAUACCAUCCACACCACCACUAGGUCACCUGUUGAGCGGUGCAUCGGAGUCCUCAAGCUCAGGUAAAAUCCUUUCCACAGUGUCUGUGUCAGCAUCAUGGAUAGCGGCAUAGUGCUGUCACUAGAUCACUCCUAUAUAAAUAGGCUAUAUAAACAAACUCGCCAAAAGUGACACAUUUGGGUUUGUCAGUAAUCAUAAACUACGGCUAUUUUUUCUGGGAUUCAUUGUCUUCAUGGGGAGAUGCAGAUGCACCCUGAGCAAGUCUGCACCAUAAUAGUAGCGCGCAUUGUCCUCCACAACAUCUGCGUCACCAAGAGGAUCCCUCUCCCUAGGCAACACCAUCAGCUGGUGCAGGAGGAAGGUGUCCACCCUGUAGACCGUGCAGGGAAUGAAGACAUUAUUAACGCUUUAUAAAUGUAAACUAUUGCUUCACUUCAAAAUAAUUCUGCUAAUUGUAUGCUGGUUGUAAAGCAUUAAUAAAUAAGCCAUAAAGAAAGGCCAGUAUAAUAAACAUAUUUUAUUUACAUAUAAUUGCCAUUGAUUAAUUGCACACAAUUUGUCAUUAGGCUUAAUUACAGAAUUACAAAGGCCCCCCCUGUCACGAACCCCCGGCCGUGAUGAUUGAGUGUUUGCGUGCUGGGUGCUUGUUAUGUUUUCGUCUUGUCUUGUGGCGUUUGUGUCACUUUCCUGGCAGUGUUCGGGGGGCGUGCCUUUCUCUGGCUGCUCACACACCUGGCAGAGGUCGUCACUGCACCUGCACCUCAUCAACCCAGCAGUAUUUUAGGAGCAGCCACACAUCCACUCAACGCCGGAUCGUUGUGAAGUAUUAUGAAUCAUCUCUGGAGAUCGGCCCUGGAUACUCAGUCCCAGAACUCAACUCACUCUGCUCACGCCUCCCUUAAAACAGUGUGUGGACCUCCACCCUCCAAGCCUGUCAGCCAGCCACUCUCAGGAACGUCCCCCACCCCUGGACCCCCACUCUUGACCUCCAGCAGCCCCCCCCCUGCACAAUAACUUUGUCAAAUAAACCGUUGAAAGCACCAUCACUUGUCCGGCCUGCUUCUGGGGCUCCCUCUGAAUCCUGACACACCCAUCCUCUUCAGAAAAAGGAGAAGAAGACCUGUUUAUCUGUUAUUGGAGCAACAGAUUUUCUAACGCUAUUUUUUGUUUUUCAAGUUCCAGCUUUUCCUACUUGGUCAGUGAUUUUUUUUUUUUUUUGUUUCAUUCUCCACUCUAACAAUUUCUUUCUCAAAAAGCAUCUGCUGCAGAUCAUCCAGCCUCCUCUGUUUCACCGGCGGUGCACCACUGCUGCCUUCAUGGGAAGUUUGUGGAGUGACUGGGGCCUCCAUUGAGUCUGAAAAUAUAGAGAAUCUGUCAUAGGCUGUAAUGGAGACCAGGGGUUCCAUUACCUGAAAUAGUCAACUGAGUAUUAAGGUGGGGAUUAUUGAUAAAGCAGGAGCCAUACACAUUAUUAUUUUGAUUGUUUAUUUAAUUUGUGAAACAUUUGAUAGCUGUCGUUGUGAGUAGUUCCACAGGGGGGGUCUGGCCAUCCUGCCUGUGUGGAAAGAAACCUCAAUCAGUGAUAGUCAAGGUUCACGACAUAGUAUUGAGUGCUUUUACUCCAUUUCAGUUAGUUGUUAAAUUAGUUUAAACAAGAUAAGAUGAACAAUGCAAGUACUCACCUCUUUCUGGUUGUCUCUUCAGCAGGGGGCGGAGGCAAAGGAGUGUUGUAGGCCCAAGCACCUGCUUAAGAGCUGCAGAAGCAAACCAUGAAGCUGAGAGGGGGUGGGGAGUAAAGCCAUCAACAAUGCUGAUUUAUGUGAUUAUUUUGAGUAUGCUUUGAUUUACUGAUAGAAAUUUGUAUUUAUGUAAAUAUUCAUUCUUUGGGCUCUAUUUUUCUGUGGUGUUGGGUUUUUGGGUAAAUAUUUAUUCUAAAUGAUGGUGGUCCCACCUGAGUAGUUUUACCCACUUAAUUACCUGCAGGAGGGAGUGUAUAAAAGGCAGCAAGUUAC